rnacentral:rRNA from 1 species
UACAGAGGUCUCAAGCGUUGUUCGGAUUCAUUGGGCGUAAAGGGUGCGUAGGCGGCGCGGUAAGUCGGGUGUGAAAUCUUGGAGCUUAACUCCGAAACUGCAUUCGAUACUGCCGUGCUUGAGGACUGGAGAGGAGACUGGAAUUUACGGUGUAGCGGUGAAAUGCGUAGAUAUCGUAAGGAAGACCAGUGGCGAAGGCGGCUCACUGGCCCAUAACUGACGCUGAGGCACGAAAGCGUGGGGAGCAAACAGG